rnacentral:rRNA from 1 species
UCCUACGGGAGGCAGCAGUGGGGAAUAUUGCACAAUGGGGGAAACCCUGAUGCAGCCAUGCCGCGUGUGUGAAGAAGGCCUUCGGGUUGUAAAGCACUUUCAGUGGGGAGGAAAGGGUGAGUCUUAAUACGGCUCAUCAGUGACGUACCUGCAGAGAGGCCCGC